AGAGGCAGGCGAUUUCUGAGUUCGAGGUCAGCCUGGUCUACAAAGUGAGUUCCAGGACAGCCAGGGCUACACAGAGAAACCCUGUCUCAGAAAAGCUUCGAAACCAGUGUCUGGGAUCGAUGCUCAUGGUUGGCUGCUCUAUCUGGACGCUGGGCUACCAGACCCCUCUUUUGGCCCCCUCACCCACUUUGAGGUCACCAAUGAGAAAACUGAGGGGAGAGACAUGGCCGAGGCCUUCAGCCAGCCAGGUCACUGGUUCAUUUAACCUGAGAACACAGGCUCCGGCACCCACAGUCUUGACCUCCACUGUCCAGGGCCUGGUUUAUACUUCACAGUUCAAUGUGGGUGAGAGAAGCCCACUCCUGCCAGCAGAAACAUGGGGAGAUGGCCCAGGGAACACACCAUCAGAGCAAACUGAAGACGGUGCCACUCAUCUGGUAGUACUGACUCCAGCCAGGCAUGGAGAGCUGAGAUCCUGCCUGUGCAGGUGGCUAACUCAUCUCCUCUUUUCUAAGCUACCAACUCUUCCGGCCCUUCCUCUUCCUUCAGACAGGAUUGUGUAUCCCAGGCUGACUUCAACUCGCUGUGUAGCCAAGUAUGACUUUUGAAUCCCUAAUCCUCCUGCCUCCACCUUGCUGGGGAUUACAGGCGUGCGCCACCAUAACCCAAUUUAGGAGGAACUGGAGAUGAACUCAGGAUUUUGUGCGUGCUAGCCAAUCACUCUACCAACCGAGCUAAAAUCCCAGCCUGUUAUACAAGAAAGAAACGAGAGAUGGAGGGAAUUAAAAUGAGGGCAUGCAUGAACAUCAUCCCCCAAGUGCUGCCUCAGCAUCUCAGGUCUCCACCGGAGCUGCCUGCCCUUAACCACGGAGGAGCCGGGAGCUGUCACCUUUAAGGGGAACCAGCCCUUCACGCAGCACAGCUAAAGAUAAAAGGACCUCAUCACAGAUGUGUCUGCACCACGCUUGGGUGUCUCUGGCUGUCAGCUCUCCAGUGCCAAACAGAAGUGUCCCACUGCCACCCCUAAAGCCCUCGGAAUGAAGAACAAACUGCCCACCCAACAUCUGCUUCUAGGAGAGGUGUGUAGGCUGAGCUCUACUGGCAAGAGCUGUGUGACCCCAGGCAAGUCACUUGACCUCUCUGAGCUAGCAUUCUCAUCUGGAAAGCUGGCAUAACACUCCAUCUUCUCUAAGAUGCUGCGAGGAACGAAAAUAUGUAUCUGCUGUGCCCGUCUCAGCAUUUCAAGGUACUCGGGACGCUGGGCGUGGUGGCACUGAGGCAGGAUCUCUGAGUUCAAGGCCAGCCUGGUCUACAGAGUGAGUUCCAGGGCAGCCAGUGUCACAAGGGAGGCUUGCAAGCCACAGGACCUCUGAAAGUGCAGUCAAUGCUCUUACCCACUGAGCCAUCUCGCCUGCUUCCCUAUGCUGAUUUUUAACGUGCAGGCUGAACAAAACCAUCUUGCAGACUGGUAUACACUGUAGCAAGGCUUGAAUGCUGGGAUACAGGGGAUAGACUCUCUAGACUGGCUCUCCAGACAUCUCACAGGGCCAAAUCUUGCUGCCAUGCCCCUAUCCUAGUCUUAGCACAAGGAAAACCCUGCUACCUACUGCGAAUCAAUAAAGAACGAUGUACCUUCCUGGGCAUCCACAUGAAAAGGGGCCAUGUCUCUUUAAAGAUCUGGGGAUAAGACUUAGAGUAAUACACACACUGACAAAUCCACAUGGGUCCUCUAAGGACCCAUGUCUGCCAUGUUGGCCAAGGCCUGGACUACACCAGCUACCAAAGGAGGGGACAGUGCUUGCUCUGAGAGUCAGGGGCAAGGAGAUGUGAACCAUGGGCACACCAAGGGACUGGAAGCACAGGUGAACCUAGAACACAGACAGCCCGAUUUGGAAGCAAGUCUUCACAGCGAGAUACAGAGCUUUUAUUAGCUUUUCCUGCUCUCACUGUCCUCAGUGUCCCCUCCGCUGGACAUAGCAUUCUAGAGGAACAACAGGAAGUCAGAAGGCCCCAGGUGAGUCUGCUCCAUAGGUCACAGCCUGGCACGGUACCGGAUGGGCACGUCUUCCUCUGGCUGCAUCAGACCGAAGCCAUAUCUGCUGAGGUCAAACUCAGGAACCUCUGUGUCCUCGCUGCCCAGCUCCAGGUCGAAAUGAGUCAGCAGUAGGACGACAAAUCUACAGAGAGAGGGGGCGCUGUGGGCUGUGCUGCUCAGUCUGGGGCGCUGCAGGCUGUGCUGCUCUGACCUUGGCAGGCCGGGGUAAGGGGAGGCUAGCUCAAGUUCAGUGGCUGUGUCCGUGGCAACCAUUUCUAUGUCAUAACCCCUAAGAGUCAGAGUGUGAAUCUCUAGCUCUCCCGCCUACAGCAUCAUCUGCAGAUGCUGGAGCAGCCAGAGCGAGGGAGGGCCCCAACCAUGUGUCUCUAACCACACACACACACUUGGGUAGUCCUGAGUCCCAGAUGCAUCAGUGUGCAUGGUGACACAGUGUGCAUGGUGACAAGAUUCUUCUUGCCUCUCCAUAAGCCUGCAGCUCUUUCCCUAAGCUAAGAACUAAGUCAUCCCUGGCUGGGCUGUGCUUACCAGGAGUGUCUGUAAGAUUAAAACCUGCACCCCUUCCUCAAGACUUCUUACCAUCACCAUGGGACAGAAAUGUCACCAAGGGCCACCUUUGUCAGGCAGCACUCUCUACCACCACCUUCUGGAGACACAUAAAGCUGCCAUAUCUAGGAUGCUCUCAGUGUCUCAGUGACACAACGACAGGUCUGCCCUAUAAGUCAAUAGUGAUUCUGAUUGUCCUGGGCCUCACCACUGUCCCUCACCUCAAUUCAGGGACCCAAAGCCACACUGAGCACACAGCAAAGACUUUCUCGUUUUACUGAGAGAGGAGCAGGUGAGUGGAUAAGCCAGACCACAGGACUUAAGGGAAAGUGACCCUCGCCAGGGUCUGUUUCCACUUGGGGGCUUGGUUCUCCUGUGGGGUCAAAGGAGUAAAGAUAGGCCGUGUCUCUGCCAGCUCUGGAGGGGUGGGGUUACCUGAGACAGGAGUCUUACUACCUGAGCACCCAAUGGUUAGAACUAUCGAUGCCGCCAUUGGAUCUUCCUAGCAGGGAGAUCACAGGGUCUGGGGUAACAGCAAAUUCACUCAUUUGUUGAGAGGGCAUGAGCAAAGUACCACGCUAACCAUGUUAAACCCAGCAUCUGUUUUGUCUGUCCCUAAAUGGAUAGGAGCAAGAACUGCUAGUAAAAUUCUGUCAUAAGUCCUGACUCGAGCGAGAGAGUCUGUCCUGAUACGGUCGGUGUGCGAGGGCGCAGACAUGAGCAGACUGCAAACCGCAAAUUUGCUCGAGUGCUGGUUCAUCCUCCAGCCACAGGGGUGAACGCAGAGCCUGCACUGGGGGAGCACACACCUGAUGUGCGCCUAAACAUCAGCUGUGCCCUGGCCACCAGACUCGGCAGUGCUUGCUCUUCCUCGCUGAGCCAACUCCCUGCCCUUGUGUGUACCUUAAGCAUGUGGAAAACCGAAUGUGAUGGUCUGUAUAUGCUUGGCCCAGGGAAUGGCACUAUUAGGAGGUGUGGCCUUGUUGGACUGGGCGUGGCAUUGUUGGAGUGGGUGUGUCACUGUGGGUGUUGGUUUUAAGACCUUCAUUCUAGCUGCCUGGAAGUCAGUAUCCUGCUAGCAGCCUUCAGAUGAAGAUGUAGAACUCUCAGCUCCUCCUGCACCAUGCCUGCCUGGAUGCUGCCAUGCUCCCACCUUGAUGAUAAUGGACUGAACCUCUGAACCUGUAAGCCAUCCUCAAUUAAAUGUUGUCCUUACAAGAGUUGCCUUGGUCAUGGUAUCUGUUCACAGCAGUAAAACCCUAACUAAGACACCGCAUGACCACCUUCCACUUGGUUUUAAUCUCUAUAGGUCACUGAUGACAAUAUUGAGCUUCAGGCUCCCCUUUCCUAUAUCCUAUGAUUUUAUUUAAUUUUUAAGUUUUGGGUAUUU
rnacentral:lncRNA from 1 species